rnacentral:lncRNA from 1 species
GGAGUGGUUAACCACUUCAGGAUCUCACCACCACCGGAGGAGGAAGGUAAGCGGAGGGCCGAUGUUCUGCCGUAGAAUGCACCCCUGACGGGAGCGCGGUUGAAAGUACACAACAAGGUGGGAUGCAUUUUACGGCACAACACCUGGUUUGAGCUGCGAACAGUUUCACUUUCCACGAUUCUCCCGUGUGGCGCAGUAUUUUUCCACCGACCUGCAGGUACUGGAACCUCGUGUUUUCUUGACUUGAACUAAUUUAAUCUCCUAAUUUUUAGUCGUCGUUUUGUGUUUUUGUUUAUGUUAAAAGUCAAUAAAGUUGGGACAGUUGUUGUACGUGCCGGUUUCCUGUUGUCCUGUCAUGGAAAACUGAAUUGACUGACAGAAACAAACGACCGAAACUUCGAGAAGACAUUUUUUCCCAUCAUUUUCACUGUUAGGAUUUCGUGAUGCUUCAUUUGUUAAUAUAUUUGUUAAUUUACCGAAUAUGAUUAAAAAAAUACUUUUGUCUUAUGUCUUUUAAUGUCCAAAGAUAACAACAGUGUUGGUUUUGGGCCUUGCUGCUACGUGCAAUUGCGAUUGUCCGUGUAGAAACAUUGUUUUAAACUGUUGGGCUAUUUACCCAUGUGGUGAACCCCCUGAGCUUUUCAGGCAUGCUCAUUACCCUCACCUGUUCACCUGUGGACUGCUCCAAAAACACCUGUUUGGAGCAGUCCACAGGUAAACAGGUGUUUUUGGAGCAGUCCUCUAUGUUCCCUGUUUUUUAUUGCCUCUUUCUCAGCUUGUUUGGAGUGUGUUGCAGCUUUAAGUUUAAAAUAAGUGAGUAUCUGCAAAAAAAAAAAAAAAAAAAAAUCAAGUUUAUCAGUUUGAACAUUUAAUAUCCUGUCUUUGUAGAGUAUUUAACAGUUAUAUCCGUGAGACAGAGAUUAUACUGAUGAUAAAAAUAGAUAAGAAGGGUAAAUACAAGUACGCCACAUCGUGACCAGAGAAAUGGCGUUCUUUGACUGUGGUCUGUUACAGUUUUCCUGUUUACACCCAAGUAAAAUGUCAACCCUCCAUCACAUGUUGUUUUAAACCCAGAGCUCAAACAGAGACAGACUUGCCAGCUUCCAGUAUGUCAGAGGACAGUGACUGGUCAACCAACAGCCCUGGACUAGAUGCUUUUUCAGAGUAAGUCUUUAUAAUCCAAACAUUUCAAUCAAAGUACUGCAAUAAUCUUCCUGAUUCAUUAUAAUGUUAUUUAUUUUAGUUUUAAUGUCCAUGUUGGGCAAAAUGUUGAAGUUUUUAAUAGAUUACAAUGUUUUCCUAUCUUGAUCUGUUAAUUAUAUACAGUGAGACUUUUAGGGGAAGGUUAAAGGUACCACCUGACUACCAACUAUAGACACAAAUACAUUUACAUGUGUCAGACUGUUUUUAUGGGGUCUGAAACAAUCAAAGUCAAGUAAUCAAUGUCGUCUUAUGAAUGAGAAGAAAACUUGGUCAUAGGUGUGAGUGUGCAUGAUUUGUGUUGUGUAUAGUCUAAUCAGGUUGCUUUCAUACUGAUGUAGUGGUUUUGUAACUGUGCUGAUCAUUCGCCGCAGGGAGGACCCGACCUCCUCCUCAGAUAAGGAGGAUGCUGUAGCAGCCACGGGUCAUCCUGACUACUUUUCCUGGCUUUGUGUGUCUCUUAGUCUCCUCACAUUCUUUCAUUUACAUCUUCACCCAUCACGAUAAACCUGACCUGCCGUCAUCAAAACACCAUUCUCACCGUCUUUCCCUUCAAAUAACCUGCUUUAGUGUUCAUGUAAACAGUUUCUCUUCUCUGUUGGUCUCCCUCUCCUCUUGACCAGAUCAAUUGAAAGCCGAACAACCAUCCAGUCCAUCGAAAGUGACAGGUCAAAAGACGAUACCAUUGAUUUCAAAGACAGUCAGCUAAAUCUGUGGUAAGUUGCUCUUAAAUUUAUCCAUUUUUACCUGGUUUAACUGACUGUAGUGGGAGUGGAUGGGCUAAACCUGUGCUUUGUGAUAUCAAAUUAUAUGGUUGUUAAAAUUAUGUGGUUAUUGGACAUGGAAAAAUGUUAAAACUCUUCUUGUAUGUUGGUUUUUAUCUUUCUUCCAGAGUCACUCCUCCAAGUUCAGCUCCUAUGGCCCCCUUGUCUCCUAAAGAGAAGUAAGCUUCCUAAAGUUAACGCUGCUUUGUUAAAGGAGCGUCCUGUAGAGUCAAAUAUGACAUCCUUAAUUAUACACAGUACAUAACUUUAUCUUGUACUUCAAAUCAAAUCACUUCCUUUAUUGUUGUGGUAAUCCCUGCAGUAAUCAUUUCUCAUUGCAGGUUUCAGAAUUUCUUCAGAAAUCUUGGCUUCAAAAGGAAUCGAUGAAACAUCUAAUUUUCCACCUCAGUGUUUUCAUAAACAACGGGAUGGUUCGAAUUAUUAUAGCCACUCGAGUCCACUGAUACGGUGUUAAUAUAGUUUCUAAUGUGCAUCACAGUCCUGUAAAAACAAGGUUAAAAAGAUCAUAACAUCUGAACACAGCAUUAUGUUUCCAUGACGUAUAAUACUGCACCACUGAGCAUCAACCUCCAUUUUUGAAAAAGCUGCAGUUCCUUGCGUCCCCACUAGAGGCUGUUUCAGAAAGAAAACAAAGACCUGAUACAGCACAUAAUAAAACGCCCAAUCUUCACAGCAGGGAUUAACACAUAGCUGUCAAGUUUCCAGUUUUGGCCGAGAAACUACCGUAUUUUUCCCCUCUUCCCGACGUCUUCCCGUAUUAGCAUUCUCCUGGAAAUCGCCCGUAUUAUUAAAUAUGUAUAUAAAACAUUCUGCCUCUCCAAACUGAACUCUGUGACUAGCGCUUGUUACGUACCCACCAACUCGUAGUAGUGAGUAGUCAUCUGUGAAUCACACAGACAAUAAACUAACCCGAUAAUUUCCCUUAUUUACAGAACAAAAACUUGACAGGUAUGGAUUAACAUGUUUACAGCAAUUUCAAUGUAAAUCAAUUAUUUUUAUAUUAUCAACUUAUAGAGAGAGGUGAAUUUUUGUGUACUGUAAAUCCCCUAAAAUAAGAUAAGAUAUUCUUUUAUUAGUCCCACAGAGGGAAAUUCCAAAUAUAUGGGCCGGGUCCUGUGUUUGCCUCUGCUCUCCAGGAUACCAGGCCUUUAAACGAAGCAGGUUUGUAUUAUAGGCGGGCCUUUCUUUUAUCUUCUCUGAGUCUGAGAACUGUAAUUGUUCAUAUUAAAGUACAAAGUCGGAGCCUUGUUAACAAAAGACUUCACUCUCCUGCUGUAUCGAUGACAAGAAACUAAGACCAUAAAAAAACAGACAAAGCUUAAAUGAGGUCAGGUUUUUUCUCUCUUGUGUUUCCAGUUAGUCAUUUUUUGUAAAAAGGAGUCUCCCCCUGCUGGCCAUGGAAAAGAAGGACAGGUUAUAGACGUCUCGCUUUUGAAUCUUAAAAGGGAACAUCCACUGCUGAUCCAGAUCAAGUUGCUGUUUUCAUAAAUUUCCAACUUAAACAGCUAAAAAAAUAUGUACAUUGUUUAUUUUGAUGAAAUUGCACUCGUGUUUACUUUUCUUUUGUUUACUUUGGUGAGAGUAAGUUCUGAAGUUUCUGAAAUAUAUUUACAUUUUCAUUGUGUGAAGAGAACAAAAGAUUUAAAAAAGAAAAAUCUAACUAGAAUGCUACUGUGCUACUGACAGCUACACUACAGUAUGAUAUUACUCACCUUUUUAAUGUCUUACUGCUGUAAUCUGAAUUUAAUAUGAUUUAGUUUCAUUUUAUUCAUUUUUUAUUUGUCAAAGUUACAGAAAAGAAAAUGUAACUUAUUUGUGGUGUUGUUUAAUUCUUUCGUAAAGAGUGUAUCUUUGUUCGCAGACAUAGUUGUUUAUAGUAUAUUUUUCUGGUUCUGUUAUAAAAGCAUCUUAAUGAACUAUGCGACUGUCUUAAUCUCAUUGAUAUCCCUGGGUCAUUUCAUUUUAUUCAAGUCUAUUAGGUGCUGGGUUUACAGCAGCUGUUUUUGUCGCCAUAUCAAGUUCAUCAUCUGGUUUCAUUUUGAUAUACUCAUUUUUUACAGCUGGCUGUAAAUGUCAUAUCUUCUCGCUUCAACCAAACCCCGUAAAGACCAAAGUCCUCUCAGUUAUUAAAGAUUGUGAGAGACUUCACUUUUCACUUUUCCUCAGCAGAGACACCGUGUUUCUCGCAGACAGGUAAUACAGCUUUGCAUUUGUAAGACUUAAUCAUAACAAAAUCUUUUGUACAGGAUCUGUGUAUCAGCGCUGAGUUUUUUUGGUCUUCUUAUACACCUGAAAUGAUCAUAUUAUGACUUCUCUGUAAGUUUGGGUUUGGGUUUACCAGCUGAAUAGUUUUGUUUGUCUUUCUCUUGUGAUGCAGUUUUUUCCUACCAUCUUUAACUAUUUUUAACAGGAGUUAGUAUAUCCAAAAACUGUUUAUAGUUAAAUCUUGAAAUCAAACACUGGAGAUGACAUUGAUCAAAAAAACAAUAACAUUAAAUAAAAACACAAGGGUAAACAAUGACUGGAAUUUACAAAAGACACUGAAAGGCUUUUUCUAUUUUCAGGUUUAGACGGAUAGUUGAACAGAUUUCAUCAAGUCUAACAUGUAAGAGUGUUGGGAAGUUUCAUGCUAGCCCUAAUGUGAGAUGUGGAUUGUUUUAUGGAGUGGCUCUUAUCUUUAUUGCUUUAUAACAAAAAAACAGUGAGAAGAGUUUGUAUCAAAGUACAAGAUCAAUUUUUAUAAUCGCAGACCAAUCACAGAUUAAAGAUUUUCACUCAGGUUAGAAAGCGGUAAAAAGUCAGAAUUUCUCACUUAACUUUCAUCCCUCUGGUACACCUGUCCAUCAACGUGAUAGGUUAUCUCCCUAAAAAAAACAUCUUAAUAUUUAUUCUGUUUUUAUGUUAUGUGCUUAAAUCUUAUCGACUUUUUGGAAGAACAAAUAAAUCUCCUCUCAUCUUAUAGUGAAAAUGGAGAUAAGUUGUCCUAAUUUAGUUCUUAUAAAAACUGUCCGACCAAAUGUUCAGGAUGUUUUAUGGUACUUUUGUACUCUUGUUUCCUGUUGUGUUCGCCUCUGUCUGCUGUGUUGGUGCCGACUGUUAGCGGUAAAAUACUGUUACUGUGGCCCAGAGCAUUCACCAGCAACGUGAGAUCACUGAGUUUAACAGGUGAUAGUGUUUCUGCUUUCAAAAAGGUGUUGUACAGUAUUACAACACUGUCAGAUCAGUCUGAUCUUGAUUUCAGUGUUCAUGUUAUUGAAUACUGAGGAAAACGAGUAGUAAGAUCUCUAUGUGUUUGUUUUGCAGCUACGUGGAGAAGCAGAGACCAGAGCCCCCACUGUAAGCAUGCCCAGGUAAAUCAUUAAAUGUUAUCCUGAUGAACGAUUAUUGAUACAAGCCAAUAUUGCAAAAAAACACAAAUAAGUGAAUAUCAAGUGGGAGAGAGAGAAGUUUCUUUGAGGACAGGAUGAACCUUUAGAACCUUCUGAUGCCUUCUUCACAGUUUCCACCUAUCAGGAAGUUGCUGUUGCCUGAAUAAAAUAAUUUAAUUUUCAUUUAUAUUUUUGUUUAAAUACAAGUUAAAAUACAUUAUUGCAGGGUGGUUACUUUUUCACCAAACCCCCUUCCUCAUUUAAACACCAUCUGAAUGGGGCCAGUCAGAUGUAUUAGGGUGAUACAUAUGAUGUGAGGCAUUGAUUCUUACCCACCUCCUAAAAAGAAACAGCGUCAAUUCACUUUUAAAUCUUGCUUUGUAGUUGACAAUUUUUUAAAAUGACACAUUUCUCUCAUUUUCCUCAUUCUUCAAACUGUUACCAUUGCACAGGCUGAAUAUCAAUGCAAACAAAACGUGAUAAAUAGCAAACAUCAAAAUCACAACCUCAGUCAAAAGUAGUUUUUAAUGUUUCAGUAGUUUUGCAGAUGUUUAGAAGUUUUCAGUGUUUGAGGAAAUUAUAAGCUGAUUUACAGGUUUUUUUUUUUCUUCUCUGCAGCAAAGAAAAAGUUAAAUUGAUAUCAGACUGUGACUCUGUUAUUGAACAUGAUGUAAAAUUAUAAAUUACAAUAAUGUUUUUCCAGCAUCAUUGUUAUGUUAUGUUAUGUUAUGUUGUUUUGAAAGGUCACUUAGUUGAAUUUAUAAUCCUCAAUUAUUGUUUCCGUCUGUUCGGUAAAAUAUCCUCUAUAAUAAAGGGUUUCAUUUGUUUGUAAGCCAGCUAAUCCAAAGAAAGAGAAAACUUUUACCAGCCUUUCAUAUUUACAGUUUGUUUGUUUUCUGCAGGUGCUGAAGUUAUUCAUUUAUCAGUUACUGUUUUUCAUGUCAACUUUGCUCUUUUGUUUGAUUGUGGUGACGUGACAGGAAUCUGAAGAGGUCUGUGGAGAACUCUCAACAAACAGAGGACCAUGGGAAUGUGCCCGGCAUUGGAGAUGGAGUCUCUAAGAAACAGGAUCACAUCAUCAAAGAAACUGGAUAUAAAACAAAACCCAAAAAGGUGAUAUUGAUUUUAGAGGCCUAAGGUGGGUAAAUUAUGCUAUUCUGAAACAUAGUUUCAUGGAAUCAUGGAGCUUCACUUAACCUGAACAGCAAAGCUAAAACAAGCUGAAGACGUGUGUCUGCAUUUAUAUUAGUAUGAAACAGGAAACAGGUUAUAGUGUUUCUGCUUUCAAAAAGGUUUAACAUUUGUGUGCUCUGGAUGUUUUGUACAGUAUAACAACACUGUCAGAUCAGUCUCUGAUCUGCUACUCUUAAGGUUGAUUUCAGCGUUCAUGUGAUUGAAAACUGAGGGAAACGAGUAGUAAGACCUCUAUGUGUUUGUUUUGCAGCUACGUGGAGAAGCAGAGACCAGAGCCCCCACUGCAAGCAUGUCCAGACCUAAUACAUCACAGAAAAGCCGAUUAGAGUAAGUCAGUAAAUAUUAACCUGAUUAACUAUUAGGGUCAUUGUCUUGCUGCAAAACAAACUUAUGACCCACAAGUCUGAGUCCAGAUGGAGCAGCAUGGUGCUGGAGGAUGGAGUGAUACUGUUCCUUCUUCAUGAUACCCUUUACUUCCAACAAAUCUCGUACUCCAUCACCUGCUAAACAUCCCCAUACCAUGGAACUACCACCUCCAUGCUGAAUUGUGGGUGUAACACAUGGAGCUUUCAGACAUUCACCAGUUUGUCAGCGGACAUAGACUCUGCGUUUUGAACCAAACAGUUCAAACUUGCUUUCAUCGGUCCAGAGAACUUGUUUCUAGUCAUCAUAAGUCCAAUUUUUGUGAGCUUUUGCCCACUCAUAUCUCUUUUUCUGUGGAUGAAGUAGUGUUUUUUUGCAGAUAUACAACCCUUCAGACCAGCCUUUCUCAAACGUCAUUUCACGGUUGUUAGAGAUAUGGGUUUCUACCUUGUCAUGUUGAUUUCCUCACUUAUUUUUGUGGUGCUGUCUUUUGCCGAUCUCUCUUACUGCUGACAAUGCUAUGUUUAUCCUCUGCUUUUGUAGUAACUCUCUUUCGUCCAGGUCUUUUUCUAUCAUCAUAACUUCCAGGUUCCUCUCGUCUCUUCACAGUGUAGUGGACUCCUUUGUUAAACACCUUUAGGCAUUUUGCAGUUUCUCUUUCUGUGUAUCCUUCUUUCCUCAAUGUACAAAUCAGUACUUUUGUUUCUUUACUCAGUUGCUUCUUUCUAGCCAUUGUUGCGGUAGUUUGAACGCAGUUGAGAUUUAGUAGGAUUUUUGUAUGCAGACUCUCAAAAGCCAAAAAGUUGAAGUGAAUAAUCCAACUGUGAUUUGUUUUUUUGCUUUUGCGCUGAAGUAGUGACUCUUGCAAACGUUGUCAACCCUAAAACUAAGCCCUUAAUAUCUUUUGAUGACAUAUAUUUAGCAAUGGUCUGUUAAUGUCAUUGUAUAUCUAAAGGUAAAUGGAGUAAAAUGGCGCAUUUCCAUAAAAGCAACAUCUGAUCAUGGAGUAAAUACAUCCCAAAAUACAUAAAACUCAUGCUGGAUUUUUUAAAAAGCGUUGUGAACAAAAACUUGAAGUUACUCCCAACUGUUCGGCCUGUAAUGGCCUUGUUUCCAAACUUUUGGCCUGUAGUGUAUGUAGUAUGGACACCAAACUUGGUAGCUUUGCAGUUUUGUUGUCAAUGUGGAAAAGCACCUCCCCAACUGACUCCACUUUGUCACGGUUUGUCAAAUCAGUGAAUAUCAAGUUAAAGAUAAGUUUCUUUGAGGACAGAAUGAACCUUUAGAUAAUCUUUUCUGAUGCCUUCUUUACAGUUUCCACCUAUAAACUCUCCAGGGACGAGUAAAGUUCUACUUUCGUGAUUUUUUUUUGUGUUCAGCAGUUGCUGUUGUUUGAUUUCUACAAAUUCUUUUACUCUGUCUACUAGAUGUUUGUCUGCCAAAAAGAGUUCCAUGGCUGCCAGAGAGAGGUUCAUACUUGCCAGAGAGUGGUCCAUGUAUGACAGAGAGAGGUCAAUGUAUGCCAGAGAGAAGUCCAUGUAUGCCGGAAAGAGGUUUGUGUUUGUCAGCGUUAAAGUUGCAUUCAGUGUUAACUCCCAUGACAGUGCAGGCUUUCAUAUGGUUUGAUUUUGUCAACAUUAAAACAAACACAUCUACACAUUUGUUCCACAGACAACAGGCAGGGCUGCACGAUUUUCCCAAAACGAAACCACUGAAAACUAUUUAAUGUAUGCUAAAUAGUAGUAGUGUAUGCAGCAAUUCUUUGCUCCUAGUGGUUUGCGACAGCUUCGACACUUGUUUGACAGCUUAAGGAUCAGCAAGCUCGCUGCAGUCAGUGAGAAAGGAUGCUUCAGUUUAUCACCAGCCACACACACUCGAGAAUGGCACCCAGUUUUAGGAUUAAAGGUUCCGACUCCAGCUUAAUUGUGAAAUUGUAACAUAGCUGUAAAAGGCUUGAAUGAAUGUGAAUAUUUCAGUGUUGAAAUUGUACGCUGUAUAAAAACGCUGAAAUUCAUUGUCCAUAAUGUGUAGGCUUCUUGUUAAUACAUUUAAUUUAUGAAACAAAUCCCCCCUUGAUACUUUGAAAAGUCAGAGAACCAUAAUUUUUGACCAGGUGGCGCUCUCUGUGGCCCGGGAAGGGUGCACAAUGGAUGGCCACAAACGACCAGAGCAUCCCCACUCAAUACUUUAAAAAGUCAAAGAACCAUAAUUCCACAGAGUGGGGACUGUGUGUAUUUUGAAAGGUCACUUGGUUGAAUUUGCAAUCCUGAAUUAUUACGAUAUGAUACAAUUUCUUGUCCCUUGAGGUCCCUUGUCUUGGACUCCAAGAGCUGCACAGAUGAAGCUGCCAAUUGAUAACACAAAGUAUGAGACCUAACAAAGACACAGUCACAUAACCCAGGCAUAUUGUUUAUUUUUAUUGCACAUGCCCAUAUUGCACAAGAAUCUCACAGAAAUGGUUACAAGAAACAUACUGACAAUGUAAACUGAUAAGAUAACAUCAUGACAUUAUUGUACAAUCCGGCUACAUUUUCAGGAAACAUAAAUUGAACACCUAAUUGAGGUGGGCAUGAAUGACUUUUUAAAACGGUUCCUGUCUGUUCAGAAAAAUUUCCCAUUAAUGCAGAGUUUUUAUUUGUUUGUUAGUCAGCUAAUACUCAAAGAAAAAGAACACUUUCACUGGCCGUUCAUAUUUCAAGUUUGUGUGUUUUCUGUAGGUGCUGAAGUUGGAUGUCUAACAAUCUGAUCUUUCUUUCUUUUCUACCCAAAUCAGUUAUUUAGCUACUGUAGCUCCUGAAAGACCAUAUAACAUGCAAAAUAACAGAGUUAGAGAAUGGAAUCAAAAUUACAAAUAAUCACAAUCAACCAUCAAAACUUUGCUAUUAAUUACAAUCUGAAUUUAAUUUGUUUUUCUAUAUUUAUUCAUCUGUAAGGCACCAUUCAAUGCCCUUUCCUCUGAAGGUGGAAAAUACAGAUACAACUAAUGUGGACAAGGAUGCUCUUCUUAUCAGACGGUUAGUAAAAUAUGUUUACAUCAUCUGUAUGUUUUUGGAUACUAAAAGUGUUUACAUCAUUAACUGUUAAAAUAGUUCUGUCCAAGUGUGACCCUUCUCUCUUCAAAUAAAAAAGCGUAAGACUUCUAACUUUACCUUCAAAACAAACACUUUGUUUAAUUUAACAGAGUUUCAAUAACAUCUGUGGCUUCAUGACCCUCAACUUUUUUAAAUAUUUGAAAUUAGGCAGCUUGAGAUUCAGUCUGUUUUUACACCAAUGAAGUAAAACCGUUUGUCACUUAUUUCUUAAUGCAGGGACGGUAAAGAGGAAAAGGAGGAAGAGGAGGAGGAGAAAGCUGAGUCAGAUGACUUGGGUUCAAACCUGUAAGUCUAAUCUGUUCAGGUCAAAAAGAUUUUUUUUUUAACUUGUUUUCUUUGGUACAGACAAAGACAGAUUACACAUAAACAAAAAACACUGUUUUCUCUGUAUUUGGGACAGUUUUAGAUGUUUGAUUUAUUUUGGACAUCAUAGGGGAGAAGUAGAUAUGAGGUUAUUAAAGCAACUUUCUUAACACUGUGGGGGCCCUGCCCCCUUUAUUAAAACACAGGGCCUUAAUGCACAGAAGCAACAGAGCUGAUUCCCACACAAUUCCCUUCCUCUGUUCACUAGGGUUAGGCAAAAAGGGUCCAUGUUCGACAGAGAGAGGUUGAUGCUCGUGAGAGAGAGGUUGAUGUUCGAGAGAGAGAGGUUAAUGUUCGACAGAGAGAAGUUCAUGUCGUCCAGAGAGAGGUUUGUGUUUGUCAUUUUUUAAGUUGCUUUCAUUGUCAGCUCCGAUGUACACACAGGUUUCCCUAUAUGGUAUUAUUUUGUCAACAUUAAAACACACACACAUGUGUGCUAUAGACGUAACGUCCAUGAAUGUCUGAUUAUGUUUAAUGAGUCUCAUCAGUGUGUUCACACAGGUGUCCUGUAAUUUCUGCAAAUGUAAUUAUCAGUUUCUUCUAAGAAAAAGUACAACAUUUUCACUGGUCUUUUAUAUUUCAAGUUUGUGUGUUUUCUGUAGAUGCUGAAGUUGGAUGUCUAACAAUCUGAUCUUUCUCAUUUUUCUACCCAAAUCAGUGAUUCAGCUGCUCCAGCUCCUGAAAGACCAAGUUCAAAAGAGCAAGGUUUUGAUUUCAAAGGAACCUCCACAUCUAUGUAAGCUAUUUUAGAUAUCACUGCAGUAACACAGUUUGUUGACAAACUUCUCAGCGAGGGUUAAAAAGACGACCAUGUGAUCAUGAAAUAAAGUCAUGUUAAGGAAUUGUCAUGCUGCUCCAGAGAGUCCAGAUCUCUAGUUUUUUUUUUCUGUUAACCCUGGUCCACCACCUCUUGUCACCUUCAGCCUCCAUGAAAGUUUAGUUUCAUCUUUAAAGUGUUUAGAGCUUUGAACCCUGUUACAAUGAUCUGUUCUCUAAUUGGGUACAAAUCCAGUGUAAUUCAAGGACAAAGCCUUUUCUCCUGGUAUGUUUGAAUAACUUUUAAAUGUGCGACACUGCAGAUUUUAGAUCCAGUGUAAGAUUUCAAACCAUCUUUGUGUUUGCUCUUGAUAUUUAACCCCUCACUGAAGAAGAAUCACCAUAACAGUGUAUCUCUUAUUACAGGGAUGACAAGACUUUCCUCAAGCUGUGGCCUUAUAUAAAAUCUGAAGAGGAAUCGCACUACUCCUCAGCCUACAGGUGGGUGAAAUGUUUUUACAAUAGAAUUUUUUUCCCAGACUCUUUUUUGUAUUUUUUGAUUUCAUGGAUCACAAAUCACAGGUGCAGGUUUUGAUAAUUCCUUGGAUUAGCCCCAAGUGUCAAUCAUAGAGAACAUAAGCCCUGUGUAACAUGGUUGAAUCCUGGAAUGCCCGCCUCCUGGCUGCUGGUGUUGAUGUAAUUGUGUCCUCGGAGAUAGCUGGUCAUUUUGCCACCACCAAGAAGAAAAUCUUCCUUUUUACAUUAAGAGGGGCAAAUGCUCUGAACUGGUUGAUGUUACAGAAUCCUGUAAUCCUGGUUUAGGUCUAUUGGUCUCAUCAGCUUCCACUGGAGUUUUAGCACCAUUGGGCAUCUCUUGUAUGCCCUGUAGGGCACACAAUUUGGACCUAGAGCUGAGGCAGAUUGUUGCUUUGUCUACCACCUGCCUGAUCUUAGCCCACUAAGUGGUGCGGUGUGAGACUGAGAUUCAGGCUCAGUGGGGUGAGGCACAUAUCCUGGCAAACCAAGUGAGAUGUUCUUCUCAUGGUCACCUAGCUGGUUCCUCAAGCUUCUGUACAGUGACUUCUAGCUUGACCCUUUUCUUCCCCUGUAGUAGGCUCUUGGCAAACUGAGCCGGUCCCAGAAAAACCUUGCUCUCUCUUUCCCUUUCUUUUUUUUUCUGUCUCUGGAUCCGCUCAGCCCUCUUUAAGGUUGAAAGCCUGUCUCUGGUCUGUACCGAGAUUUUUGUGUUUGCUCUUGAUUUUUAACCCCUCACUGAAGAAGAAGCACCAAAACAGUGUAUCUCUUAUUACAGGGACGACAAGACUGACCUCCGGCUGAGGCCUCCUGUAAAAUCUGAAGAGGAAUCGCACUACUCCUCAGCCUACAGGUGGGUGAAGUGUUUUCACAGUAUAAAUUCUCUUCAAGACAGUUUUGAAGUAGUUUUUGAACACUGUUAAUACAUGGAUCACAAAUCACAGAAGCAGAAUGCUUUGAUUAGCCCCCUCUCUGUAAAACCUGAUCUAAAACAUGGAUGUAUCUCUGCAGUCGGGUUUGUAUCAAGGCUAUCAGCUUUAGCAUUUUAAUAGUUUUGUAGCUAAAGUCAAAAUCUAAUGAAUGAACUCUUCACAGCAGUCUCCUCCCCCUGAGUCAUGCUGUCAGACCUCAUUGGUGCAGCAGUUCGACAUGUAUUUGAAUAUUAAAUGUAAAAGUCAAGAUCAUACAGUACAGCUAAUUGCAUUUAUUUAAAGGACCUGGUGAGAAUUGCUUCACAUAUGUAAUACAAAUGUAAACACUGUUUGAAAUGCAAAAUAACAGAGCUGUAGACAUGGAAUAAAAAUUAAGAUUAAGCACAAGCAAACAUUAAAACUCUGCUUUUAAUGACAAUCUGAAUUUGAUUUUUUUUCUGUAUUUAUUCCUUUGUCAGGCCCCACUCAAUGUCCUUUCCUCUGAAGACAGAAAACACAGAUACAACUGAUGGGGACAGAGACGUUAUUCUCAUCAGGCAGUUCGUAAAACGUGUUUACUUCAUCUGUAUAUUUUUGGAUUUUAAAGCUGUUUACGUCAUUAACUGUUAAAAUAAUUUUGUCAAAGUGUGACCCUUCUUUCUUCAAAUGAAAAGAUUUAAAUUUUUCUAACUUUACCUUUUAAACAAACACUUUUUUUUUCAAUUCAACAGAGUAUCAAUGGCAUCUGUUGCUUCAUUAGACCUACUUUUUUACAUAACAGUGUAUCUCUUAUUACAGGGACGACAAGACUGACCCCCGACUGAGGCCUUCUGUAAAAUCUGAAGAGGAAUCGCACUACUCCUCAGCCUACAGGUGAGUGAAAUGUUUUUACAGUAUAAAUUCUCUUUCAGACAGUCAGACCUCAUUGGUGCAGCAAUGCGACAUUUAUUUGAAUAUUAAAUCUAAAAGUCAAGAUCAUACAGUACAGCUGAUUGCAAUUAUUUAAAGGACCUGCUAAGAACUGCUUCACAUAUGUAAUACAAAUGUAAACACUGUUUGAAAUGCAAAAUAACAGACAUGGAAUAAAAAAAUAUGACCAAUCACAAUUAACCAUCAAAACUCUGAUAACUGCAAUUUAAUUAGUUUUUUUUAUAUUCAUUCCUUUGUCAGGCACCACCCAAUGUCCUUUCCUCUGAAGGUGGAGAGACAGGAAGGUUCUCAUCAUCAGACGGUUAGUAAAACAUGUUUACAUCAUCUGUAUAUUUUUGGACGCUGAAGCUGUUUACGUCAUUGACUGUUGAAAUAGUUUUUCUUCAAAUAAAAAAGCUUUAAACCUCUAACCUCUAAAUUCACCUGAGUAUCAACAACAUCUGAUGCUACAUGACACUCACUUUUUACAUAUUUUAAAAUGUCUGUUUUUACACUAAUAAAGUAAAACCGUUUGUCCCUUUUUUCUUAAUGCAGGGACGAUAAAGGGGUAAGGAAGGAGGGAAAAGCUGUGGUAGAUCACUGGGGUUUAAUUCUGCCCCUGGAAGUCACAUCUGUUUUAAGAAGGUUUUAAGAAUGUUUUUCCGUUUUUCCGUUUAAACCUGAGUAAAAUGUCAAUCUUUUAAUGGUUUCUGAGGAAGAAAAGUGUUGCUGUUUAGUCUCAUCAUUUCACUCACUGAUAUAUUCAUCUGCCAAACCUACCAUAGAAGCAUUUAAAAAUUAUUGUUAUUCUUUAUUAUUUGCAAAAUGUCUAAUGUCCACAAUACAUGACUUGAUGUGUGCUUGUACCUGCUCUUUAUGUUUACCUGUAUUCAAUGUGAUUUUGUUUCAUUUUAGACAUUUUUUAUUUGUCAAAGUUACAGAAAAUAAAAUGCAAUGUAUUUGUAGUGUUGUUUAAUUCUUUUGGAAAGAGUGUAUCUUUGUUCAUAGACAUGUAUAUUUCCUCACACUGUUACUAAAAUCAAUAUCACUCAUAAUUUCGGACGUGUACCAAACUUUCACAUAACAAACAUCCAGAUAUUUUUCAAGAAUAACCAUUUCUCAGUCGAGCAGGCUACAACACGUCACCAAAUCUCAUCUGAAAAACCAUCAGUCUGGAGUGAUUUAAUCUGACUUUGUGUUUGCCAUUUAAGAGCCUGUCUUUGGUUUUUGGGGUUUGUUUUUACAGUGAGUGAUAACUUGACCCUAGAGACAAAUGUAAAAUGAUUUUAAAAAAUACUUAAAGCUAAUUAAGUAAUUAAAACUUAAAGACAUCCUAAGAACUGUAUAUGUGAAGUAUGUUCCUCUUUAUUUCAUCUUUAUUUACAGUUUACUUGAUCAGCUGUACAUCUUUUUCUCUCUGGAAAAUUUAAUGAGAAGAAUGGAGAAAAACUUGUCUUUCCAGUGAGAGUUUGCUGAAAUUGAAACGUCACUUCAUUUUGAUUGUUGUGUGCAUGUUGGACACACACACACACACACACCAGUGACACCAAGUAUGUUAAUGAACUGGAUCGAAUUCAUAUCCAAUUAACUGGAUAUGAACUCUACACAGACUGCUUGUUUGCAGUUUACAGUUGUAGAAACACAGAAGAGGACCUCCCACAAAAAUUGUAAGUUAAACUUGUUUAUACCAUAACAAUUAUUUUAAACUUAUUUAACUUGUAAAUUAUUGUUAUGAUGUAAACAAGUUAAGCUCAAAAGCUCAACUGAAGGAUGGAGUUUCAGGGCCACAUUUAAGACAGAAAAUUGUAUUAUGAUUACAACAGGUGGUAUUUUUUCCCCUUCUGUUUGGUCAAAUCACUUUAGGAAACAGAUUUUCCAAGUGGGUUCACAUAUCCCAUAGCAUGCAGGCCCCUGUAGUCCAGCAGAGUCUGCACAUUGAUUUUCUGAUAGUUCACCACCUUUCCUCCUCUCUCAUUUCUUGACAUGAGGAAACUUAUCACUACAUCAAGUCAAUCAUAGUUUUGUUUCUAACUAGUGUAUCUUUAUAUAUUUCAAGAUGUUGUUCAUCCCUGAAAACCAACAGAAUGAAUGUAAACAUAACUGACUUGAUAAUAUAGCAUGCCAAAAAGAGGUCUCCUAUGGUCAACUUACCCCGUGUAUGGGGUAAGUUGAGCCGUAUCCCUACUAUCCCCCACUCUCCAACCCAGCCCUCCCUCACCUUCUCUCUCCCUAAAUAACAGUCACUUCUUCACAUUCAUGUGUAUUUUUAUCUAUUAUACACUUUUCAACUGGAAAAAUUAUUUUUAUUAUUAUUAUUGCAUUUAACUGCUAAAAAGCUGUUUUAGUAAAAAGCCAUUUUAACAUGAGAAUGUCUUUAAGUGAUUCAAAACAUUCACAGCUGUACCAAGGAUGGAGGGAAAGAUGACAGGGCUUGAACCAGGGGUUGUUACUGCUGCACCUAGACCAACGACUCACGAGCUACAGCCGAGAAAGAGGGAGUGAUUAACUGCUUCAGGAUCUCACCACCACCGGAGGAGGAAGGUAAGCGGAGGGCCGGUGUUCUGCCAUAGAAUGCAACCCUGACGGGAGCGCGGUUGAACGUACACAACAAGGUGAAAUAAUCCAAGUUUUCCUUACCGUUGGAUGGAUUUAAUAGUGUGUGCCUUUAUUAUUUCAUUCGGGAUAUUCAGAUAAGCCAAAAACAAUCGCCCUCUGAUUCUGAAUAUUUGCUGUCCUGAAAAUAUAACGUUCUCUACCUUGACAGCUCACUAAACAGUUUAUAUACCCAAGUACACUUCAUUUUGGAAAAAGCUGCAGUUCCUUGAGUCCCCACUAGAGGCUGUUUCAGAAAGAAAACAAAGACCUGAUACAGCACAUAAUAAAAUACCCAAUCUUCACAGCAGGGAUUAACACAUAGCUGUCAAGUAUCCUGUUUUAUCAGGAACUGCCGUAUUUUACCCCUCUUUCCUGCCGUCUUCCCGUAUUAGUAUUCUCCUGGAAAUCUCCAUUAUUAUUUAAUAUGUAUAUAAAAAAAACAUCCUGCCUCUCCAAAAUGAACUCUGUGACUAGCGCUUGUUAAGUACCCUCCAACUAGUAGUAGUGAGUUGUCAUCUGUGAAUCACACAGACGAUAAACUAACCCGAUAAUUUCCCUUAUUAACAGAACAAAAACUUGACAGGUAUGGAUUGACAUGUUUACAGCUAUUUCAAUGUAAAUCAAUGAUAUUUUUUUAAUAAAAUUUUAGAAAGAGGUGAAUUUUUGUGUACUGUAAAUCCCCUAAAAUAAGAUAAGAUAUUCCUUUAUUAGUCCCACAGGGGGAAAUUCCAAAUAUAUGGGCCGGGUCCUGUGUUUGCCUCUGCUCUCCAGGAUACCAGGCCUUUAAACGAAGCAGGUUUGUAUUAUAGGCGGGCCUUUCUUUUAUCUUCUCUGAGUCUGAGAACUGUAAUUGUUCAUAUUAAAGUACAAAGUCGGAGCCUUGUUAACAAAAGACUUGCACGGCUUUUGAGUGAAUGAGUGAAAAAGACAUGAAGCACACGCCCACUUUAUUUCCAAAAUCACUCUCCUGCUGUAUCAAUGAAGACCCCAAACUAGAAACUAAGACCAUAAAAAAACAGACAAAGCUUAAAUGAGGUCAGGUUGUUCCUCUCAUGUGUUUCCAGUUAGUCAUUUUUUGUAAAAAGGAGUCUCCCCCUGCUGGCCAUGGAAAAGAAGGACAGGUUAUAGGCGUCUCACUUUUGAAUCUUAAAAGGAAACAUCCACUGCUGAUCCAGAUCAAGUUGCUGUUUUCAUAAAUUUCCAGCUAAAAAAAUAUGUACAUUGUUUAUUUUGAAGAAAUUGCACUCGUGUUUACUUUUCUUCUGUUUACUUUGGUGAGAGUAAGUUCUGAAGUUUCUGAAAUAUAUUUACCUUUUCAUUGUGAGAAGAGCACAAAAUAUUUAAAAAAGAAAAUUUAACUAGAAUGGAACUGUGCUACUCACCUUUUUAAUGUCUUAUUGCUGUAAUCUGAAUUUAAUAUGAUUUUGUUUCAUUUUAUUCAUUUUUUAUUUGUCAAAGUUACAGAAAAGAAAAUGUAAUUUAUUUGUGGUGUUGUUUAAUUCUUUCGUAAAGAGUGUAUCUUUGUUCGCAGACAUGUAUAUUUUUCUUGUUCUGUUAUAAAAGCAUCUUAAUGAACUAUG